rnacentral:rRNA from 1 species
AUGUCCCCCUUCAACUUAGACGCGUCUGUCAUUCAGGACACUAUUCUAGCUAGGAGGCAAAGUGACAAUGAGCGGAAACGUAAUUUAACAAACGAGCAAAGGGAGGCAAAAAACGCAAGUAGCAGAGCAUGCCAUCAGAAGAAAAGUGACGAAUUAACGGUGGAGGUCAGAGAAACAAAGAAUGAAAAAAUACGCGUGAAUCGCGUGCAGCGCCGCAAAAGCAUGUCGGUGAUUGAGAAGGGGGAGUCAAGUGCACAGAGGAAGGCCAAUUAUGAAAGAAGGAAAAAAACACCGUGCAAAGAAUGCAUCGCAAUCCCCCUUACAGACCUAGCAAACUCAACCUCUGAAUGUCCCACUUCCCCAAGCCGCGCAUCACCCGUCUCUCGGGCCGAAAAAGAUGAUUCAUCUGAUGGCGAUCCGGGGACGAACAUGCCGAGAUACUCUGCCGGUGCUGAUGAAGACAUCGAUGUAUUCCAAAGCGGCACCAUGGGCGAUGAGCAGGAAGCACACGACUUGAUUGAUGAGGAGUACUACAUGUUUUGCAACGAAGGAUCCGAUAACGACAUAUUGGAUGAUGACGAGGAAGCGAGCAUGUCUAGCGCUAAACCUAGCGAGAUUGAUCCAUUUGACACUGUCUACUCAAACAUUCCAGACAACACUCACAUCCUGAAAGUCGACGAAAAUUGCAAACAUUGCAAGGCCAGAAAGUUUGAGUCUGAGACUGACGGCUUCUGCUGUCGCAAUGGCCAGAUCCAGCUUAAGAAACCGGAACCAAUCCCAGAGCUUAUGAGGCUAUGGUCCAGCAUGGAUGCAGAUUCUAGACAUUUUCGGGAGAACAUACGUUUCUUCAACGGGCAUUUCGCCUUCACAACCCUUGGGGUCAGCCUUGAUGAAAACUACACUAACAUGAAGUCUGGGGUGUACACAUUCCGAGCACACGACACCAUCUACCACAAUGUCCAUUCGUUCGGGCCUAGCUCCCGUCCAGAACAUCUGCAGUUGUACUUCUAUGACGACGACCCUAACCUAAAUCAUCAUAAGGCGGCCACCAAGCAAUUAGACCAGGAUGUCGUGAAGAGGUUAGUAGACAUACUCAAAGAAAACCCAUGCUCCCAGCAAUUUAGGAGUUUGGGUGCACACAAGGACAACCUCGAUGAUUAUAGGAUAGACCUAAACACCGAUAAGAGGCUUGACCAAAGAAGAUAUAAUAGACCGGUGUCAUCUGAAGUCGCUGCAAUUUGGGUUGAGGGCACUGACCUAGCAAAAAGGUUUGACCGCAGGAUAACACUUUGUGGUAACAACAACGAAAGGCAUAGUAUACGUGUGACCUCAGGGGCAUAUGACCCGUUGUCUUAUCCAUUAUUCUAUCCAAUGGGGGAGCUAGGUUGGCAUCCGAAGCUACCCAAACGUAAUGUUUCUUGGGAGGUUGUACAAAAUCCUCGUUUGUGUCAUGAUGACGAAGAUGAUGCAGAGGGGAAUAGCAGGUUAUGCGUCUCCGUUAGAGACUACUACUGUUACAUGCUGCAAACACGGUCUGCGAUCUUCAAUCCAAUACUUUGUGGAGCACGCCUACUGCAGCAAUGGACGGUUGACAUGUACAUCAAGAUUGAGAGCUGUCGGUUGAGGUGGUACAGGAAGAACCAGACGCAGAUCCGUGCCGAUUUGUAUAAAGGAGUUGUUGAUGCGAUCACAUCGGGUGAGACGCGAGCAAGCGUUGUUGGGGUAAGAAUAGUGCUCCCUGGAACUUACCCUGGUGGCGACCGCGACAUGAAGAAGAGACAUAUGGAUGCCAUGGCAAUUGUCCAUACAUACGGGAAGCCUGACAUCUUCUUGACCAUGACUUGCAACCAUAAAUGGGAAGAGAUAACAAAUGAGUUGCUUCCUGGACAGACGGUGCAAGACCGACCUGAAAUUGUGGCUCGCGUGUUCUAUGGCAAACUAGAGGCUAUGAAAGAUAUGUUGCUCAAGAAGAUGGUCCUGGGUGUUGUUGUUGCUUAUGUUUACGUAGUUGAGUUCCAGAAGAGAGGCCUCCCCCACGCACAUUUUUUGUUGAUCAUGGAUUCAACGUAUAAGCUUCUUGUCCCAGAGCAGUAUGACCGACUCAUUUCCGCAGAGCUCCCAGACAAGCAAAAGUAUCCGGAAUUGUAUGCAAUGGUGGUAAAACAUAUGAUGCACGGACCAUGCGGUGCUCUCAACCCGAAGAAUGUUUGCAUGCAAGAUAAUGAAUGCAAGUGCAGAUACCCGCGGCCGUUCAAUGAGAACACGAUACAAGGCAAGGACUCAUACCCAGUUUAUCGGCGUAGAAACGAUGGUAGACGCGCUAAGGUUCGAGGGAAAAUGUUGGACAACCGAUGGGUUGUGCCAUAUAACCCUUACCUUCUGCGGAUGUUUAAUUGCCACAUCAACGUCGAGGUCUGCUCUAGCAUAAAGGCUGUAAAAUACAUUUAUAAGUACAUUUAUAAGGGCCAUGAUAAGGCUUCUUUCAGCAUCGACCAGCCAGACGCUGAUGGUAAGAUUGAUGAGAUCAAGAGAUACGUUGACGCAAGAUGGGUCACCCCUCCGGAGGCUAUGUGGAGGAUAUUUGGCUUCCCACUGUGUGCCAAUUACCCGCCUGUCUUGCAGUUGCCUCUUCAUCUCCCGAAUAUGCACAGGGUUGCAUUCAAUGCACAGGCUGACUUGAAGAAUGUUGUAUCCUCCGAGAAUGCUUCAAAAUCCAUGUUAACGGAGUAUUUCAAGGCAAAUGAACUACACCCUUGGGCAAGGCAUAUAUUGUACAAGGAUUUCCCCGGAAGCUUCACGUGGGAGAAGAAAAAGAAGUUCUGA